UAAGGAAUCUUCCGCAAUGGGCGAAAGCCUGACGGAGCAACGCCGCGUGAGUGAUGAAGGUCUUCGGAUCGUAAAACUCUGUUAUUAGGGAAGAACAAAUGUGUAAGUAACUAUGCACGUCUUGACGGUACCUAAUCAGAAAGCCACGGCUAACUACGUGCCAGCAGCCGCGGUAAUACGUAGGUGGCAAGCGUUAUCCGGAAUUAUUGGGCGUAAAGCGCGCGUAGGCGGUUUUUUAAGUCUGAUGUGAAAGCCCACGGCUCAACCGUGGAGGGUCAUUGGAAACUGGAAAACUUGAGUGCAGAAGAGGAAAGUGGAAUUCCAUGUGUAGCGGUGAAAUGCGCAGAGAUAUGGAGGAACACCAGUGGCGAAGGCGACUUUCUGGUCUGUAACUGACGCUGAUGUGCGAAAGCGUGGGGAUCAAACAGG
rnacentral:rRNA from 1 species